rnacentral:rRNA from 1 species
UGGGGAAUAUUGCACAAUGGGGGAAACCCUGAUGCAGCGACGCCGCGUGAGUGAAGAAGUAUUUCGGUAUGUAAAGCUCUAUCAGCAGGGAAGAAGGAGACGGUACCUGAGUAAGAAGCCCCGGCUAACUACGUGCCAGCAGCCGCGGUAAUACGUAGGGGGCAAGCGUUGUCCGGAUUUACUGGGUGUAAAGGGAGCGUAGACGGCAGGACAAGUCUGAAGUGAAAGCCCGCUGCUCAACGGCGGGACUGCUUUGGAAACUGUUUAGCUGGAGUACCGGAGAGGCAAGCGGAAUUCCUGGUGUAGCGGUGAAAUGCGUAGAUAUCAGGAAGAACACCAGCGGCGAAGGCGGCUUGCUGGACGGCAACUGACGUUGAGGCUCGAAAGCGUGGGGAGCAAA